CCUACGGGAGGCAGCAGUGGGGAAUAUUGGACAAUGGGCGCAAGUCUGACGCAGCGACGCCGCGUGAGGGAAGAAGGCUCUCGGGUUGUAAACUUCUUUUAUCAGGGACGAAGCCAGUGACGAUCCCUGAUUCAUACGCCACGGCUCACUACGUGCCCGCAGCCGCGGUAAUACGUGGGGGGCGAGCGUUAUCCGGAUCUACGGUGUGUAGAGGGCGUGGAGGCGGGAGAGCAAGUCAAGCGUGCUGUGAAAUGUCCGGGCUUAACCCGGGACUUGCAGCGGGAACUGGCGGGCUUGAGUGCGAGAGAGGUAGGUGGAAUUCGUGGUGUAGCGGUGAAAUGCUUAGAUAUGACGAAGAACAACGAUUGCGAAGGCAGCUUGCUGGAGCGGAACUGACGCUGAUGCGCGAAAGCGCGGGGAGCGAACAGGAUUAGAUACCCCAGUAGUC
rnacentral:rRNA from 1 species